rnacentral:rRNA from 1 species
GUUGUUGGGUAGGGGAGCGUUCUGUAAGCCUGUGAAGGUGUGCUGUGAGGCAUGCUGGAGGUAUCAGAAGUGCGAAUGCUGACAUAAGUAACGAUAAAGCGGGUGAAAAGCCCGCUCGCCGGAAGACCAAGGGUUCCUGUCCAACGUUAAUCGGGGCAGGGUGAGUCGACCCCUAAGGCGAGGCCGAAAGGCGUAGUCGAUGGGAAACAGGUUAAUAUUCCUGUACUUGGUGUUACUGCGAAGGGGGGACGGAGAAGGCUAUGUUGGCCGGGCGACGGUUGUCCCGGUUUAAGCGUGUAGGCUGGUUUUCCAGGCAAAUCCGGAAAAUCAAGGCUGAGGCGUGAUGACGAGGCACUACGGUGCUGAAGCAACAAAUGCCCUGCUUCCAGGAAAAGCCUCUAAGCAUCAGGUAACAUCAAAUCGUACCCCAAACCGACACAGGUGGUCAGGUAGAGAAUACCAAGGCGCUUGAGAGAACUCGGGUGAAGGAACUAGGCAAAAUGGUGCCGUAACUUCGGGAGAAGGCACGCUGAUA